rnacentral:rRNA from 1 species
GAUGAAUGCUGGCGGCGUGCCUAACACAUGCAAGUCGAGCGGUAACAGGAGUAGUUUACUACUUGCUGACGAGCGGCGGACGGCUGAGUAACGCGUGGGAACGUGCCCCAAAGUGAGGGAUAAGCUCCAGAAAUGGAGUCUAAUACCGCAUAUGAUCUUCGGAUUAAAGGAUUUAUCAGCUUUGGGAGCGGCCCGCGUUAGAUUAGUGAGUUGGUAGGGUAAUGGCCUACCAAGCCGACGAUCUAUAGCUGGUCUGAGAGGAUGAUCAGCCAGACUGGGACUGAGACACGGCCCAGACUCCUACGGGAGGCAGCAGUGAGGAAUCUUCCACAAUGGGCGAAAGCCUGAUGGAGCAACGCCGCGUGAAGGAUGAAGGCCCUCGUGUUGUAAACUUCUUUUAUAAGUGAAGAAUAUGACGGUAACUUAUGAAUAAGCACCGGCUAACUACGUGCCAGCCGCCGCCGUAACAC